rnacentral:lncRNA from 10 species
GUGGCUCAUGCCUGUAAUCGGAGCACUUUGGGAGGCCGAGACGGAAGGAUCGCUUGAGGCCAGAUGUUGGGGACCAGCCUGGGCAACAUGGAAACAGAUGUGACGUUGUGUUUUCAGGAUGCAUACAAUGCUGAUUUUGUCCACUAUCGAUUGUGCUAACUUGGUUCAAAUGGUGUCUGCCAGUUUCUCCAGUGUGAGGUUAGUAUGUUACACUGUGGUGUUUUGUUGUUGUUGUUGUUUUUAAUAUUUUAUUUAAUUUUAAUUUUUUUUUUUUUUUUUUGAGACAGAGUCUCACUCUGUCACCCAGGCUGGAGUGCAAUGGUGUGGUCUCAGCUCACUGCAACCUCUGCCUCCCAGGUUCAAGGGAUUCUCCUGGCUCACCUCCCGAGUAGCUGGGAUUACAGGCCCGCACCACCACGCCCAGCUAAUUUUUGUGUUUUUAGUAGAGGCAGGUUUCACUAUGUUGGUCAGGCUGGUCUUAAACGCCUGACUUCAAGUGAUCUGCCCACUUCCGCCUCCCAAAGUGCUGGGAUUACAGGCAGGAGCCACCACGCCCGACCAAUUUUUUUUUUCUUUUUUGGCGAUGGAGUCUCAUUCUGUGGCCCAGACUGGAGUGCAGUGGCGCCCUCUCUGCUCACUGCAACCUCCGCCACCGGUUCAAGUGAUUUUCCUGCCUCAGCCUCCUGAGUAGUUGUGAUUACAGGCCCGCACCACCACGUCCAGCUAAUUUGUGUAUUUUUAGUAGAGAUGGGGUUUCGCCAUGUUGGCCAGGCUAGUCUUAAAUUCCUAACCUCAGGCAUGAGCCACGGCACCUGACUUUACACUUUGUUAAUAAGUGCUUUCUGGGGAGAUACUUCGAAAGUAAUUAAAUAGCCUGUUCCUCAACACACGCCGUUUCCAAGAGCUUAAUAUCAAUUGAU